CUCUGGUGAGGGCACUGUGCUUCCGUCACCAACCACACUCUUUUCUGAUGGUCUUUCUCUUUGUUCCCUGAGAUAUUUCUUCCAAACCACCAUAUUAAGAGGUAAACUGAUUCUAAGAUUUAUGAGGAAUCACAAAGGGCCAAGAAUAGCAAUGCACACUUGAAGGAAAAUAAGGUCAGAGAGUCAAGUUACUAGUCAAAUAAUCGCCUAAAAAUUAAUUUACAAAUGGUAAUUACACUUAAUCUUUAAAGGAAAAAAACCAACACUGAAAGUAACAGGCAAGGAAAUGAGGUAUGGAGAUAUCCAGCAAUCUUCUAAAUCAAUUAAGGAUUCACCACAAGAUACAGAGAGAAAAUCCAGGAUUUAUGACUGAAGACUGUUUAUUGGACUCAGUAGUACCUCAUGAUGCUGUCAUUAAUGUUUCUACAAUGCUUUCUCAUGGAUACAGAAUCCUCUUAGUCAACACUAUCAAUUGUGUUUGUCCUGUAAGUCAAUAAAAUAAUUUUAAAAGAUUUUUUUUAAGAGAUGGGGUUUCGCCAUAUUGCCUAGGCUGGUCUCAAGAAAUCUGCCUGCCUUGGCCUCCCAGUGCUGGGACUAAAGGCGUGAGCCACCAUGACUGGCCCAAAAACUGAUCUUUUUUUUUUUUUUUUUUUUUUUUUUAAUUGAGACGGAGUCUUGCUCUGUCGCCCAGGUUGGAGUGCAGUGGCGCAAUCGCGGCUCACUGCAAGCUCCGCCUGCCGGGUUCACGCCAUUCUCCUGCCUCAGCCUCUCGGAGUAGCUGGGACUACAGGCGCCCGCCACGACGCCCGGCUAAUUUUUUGUAUUUUUAGUAGAGACAGGGUUUCACCGUGGUCUCGAUCUCCUGACCUCGUGAUCUGCCCGCCUUGGCCUCCCAUAGUGCUGGGAAAACUGAUCUUUUAAGCCCAAUAUAAAGAAGGCCAAAGGAGGAAUGUUGCCUCUGCCUGGCUGUCUCAUCUGUGGUAGAGCUAAAAGUAAACAGAUCAGGGCCUUGGUUGGUGAAGACUCCACUUUAAAAGUUUCAGUUGAAUAUAGUUGAUUUUGGAAUAAGUCCAAAGAAGGAAGAAGGUUCUACUUCUGAGAUGGAAGCCCAUGAAGGCAUUAUGCCAGGAAAGAUUUUAAAAGCCAGGAAAUGAAUCAGGAUGGUUGUGAAUGGAGAAAGUCAAACACAUCAAUAAAUCAGGAGGGCCAGGCAGAUGAGAAACCAAAAAACGUAGCCAGCUUUGGCAAAUGCUCAUUACAAAUGAGAUUCCAGCCAGAUGAGCUGGUGGUUUAUUCAUUCACUCCAUUGUUCUUUUUAUCUAUGACAUAAUGGUUCAGUGUAAUUUCCAUAAAGCAAGACAUAUCUAUUCACUUUAGGUUGUUGUGUUCAUUAAAUGGAGAAAUCAUGUUUUCUAAAUUCUGACCUAUUGUUUGGUAUUGCACCUUUCGUGAACUCCAAAAAUAAUCUAAGAGGAAGAUCUUAAGCUUUAGUAUAAGUGGCAUCUUUUUUCAAGGAUGAAAAUUUAACAUGUAAGCUAGUGUUAAAUUCCUGACAAAUAUUCAUCAACAAAUGUACUUUCUACUGUACUCAAGACAAGAUGGUGUUAGGAGCUAGAGACUGAGCAUAUUGCUAAAUGGCCAUGGCCUUGAGAUUUAGUAAUGUGAAUUUAAGGGGAACAAGAAGUUCUCCAGUUCUCUACUCAAAUUAUUAUUGCUCAGAGCAAGCUAUUAGAUAUAAAUCUGAGAAACAAAAGAAAGACCAAUUAGAUAAUCUAUUUAUGCCUUGGAGAACUAAGCAAAAUGAGAAUGCUUCUAAUUUGUUUUGCUUGAAUAAACUCCAAUCAAAAGAUUGCCCUUUUGCAUGAUAACCAUAAUAACAUAGUAGACAGUUUUAUAAAUCUCACAUUUAUAAUUUGAAGUUUUGACAAGGCAUUUCUAAGUGGCAUUUCAGGAUUCUUAUCAAUUAUUUUAUUGACUGUAAAAUUACAUUUAGUGACUUGCUUAAGCUUUCUCUGCAAAUCAGGAUUUAGAAUCAAAUCCUUGCUUUACUUAAUAAUACUAUUUCUGAACACCAUAAAAUUUUUCCAAUUACAAAAAGCACUAUUUUAUCUGUUAUAUGGUACAGCUAUGGGCUGUAGUAAAAGCUACAGACUUUUUACCACUUUUCUUGGUCCUGAAGGAAAGGAGACAGAAGAUGUCCAUGUCUGCUUCAUAAAGCAUUAGAAAAGGUGAUCUUACAGAUGGAAAAACAUUCCAUUGAGAUAACUGUAAAAUUCAAAUCUAAUUAAACCCUGGCAUUGGGAGGUCUAUUAUUGCUUCUUCUUAUUUAAUGUAUAAUCAUUGAUAAAGCAAUACCUCUAAAAUGGGCCUUUGAAAACUAAACUUUUUUUUUUGUUUACUUUUUUUGUAACAAAAAGGUGGGGAAAUUUGAAAAGUUCGCUUCUUUGUAUGUUUAUGUGUAUGUUUUGAGUGUGUUUAAUUUCCUGCUUGUUUAGCUUUCUUUUAUAAUUUAAUUUUGCUGCUUAUGAUAAUACUGAGUAAUAUAAAGUACUUAGAAAAGACAUAUAGAUAUUUUUAAAUUAUAUACGUAGUCAUUAAAUCCUCACAACAACCCUAUGAGAUAAUAAAUUAUUGUCGUUAUUUUGUGAAUUGAGAAACUGAAGCACAAAUAUAUGUAAAUAACUUGUCCUGAACAUUCUUAUUUUAUAUUUCAACAGUAUCACUGAAAUUUGCUGUUCAAAUAUCACAAACUAUUCCUUGAAGGAUUUUCAUGUAAUAUAAAAAUAACAGGCUGGGGAAAUUCGCUUUCCAAUUAUUGAUUUUUAAGUUAAAACAUAAUUCCUGAAUUAAUUUAUUUGUCUUUCUUGAAGUUAGACAGCCAAUGUGUAUUUGAGUCUAGGAUGGAAUUCAAGCUAGGCAUUUUUAUAGAAAUUAACAUAUGCAAAUAUGUCAUUAUUUUAAAAAAUUUCCCUGCUAUAUAUAAAUAGAAAAGAUUUUUGAAUGAAGUAAACAGAUACAUUAACUGUCUUUCUUUUUCUUUCCCUCUAGAUAUUGAUUUUUC
rnacentral:lncRNA from 10 species